UCUAUGUAGAGCGCCACCACGCCGCCGUUGUCCCAGUGUACCAGUGCUGCACACACCUCCAUGAUCACCAGCCCUGCCACGUGUACACCUCAAUAACAUGCAACACCGAUAUUUAAACUCCUAGAAUCAUAACAGUCAUCCAAUUUGCCGCGCCCUAUUAGUCCUGCCCCGAGACAAGGCGUCGCUGGAGAGGGUGCGCCGCCCUGCUUGCACCGCCUCCUGCGUCACCUGCCUGCCGACCCACACGCUGCCAGAGUCCCGCAUCUCCAGGAAGCAGCCUUGGUGUACCUGAUGGCCCACGUGGAGGGCAGUCUGCACGGAGUCGAUGGACACACUGAAGCAAAGGGCGGUGAGAAAGAGCAGAGUGAACAGCAUGGACAGCACCUCCAGCCGCGCCCACCCGAACGUGUUGUGCAGCGACUGGGGGCCGGAGCUCACCUGUGGAGAGUCACCUGUGCCGUAGGUCAUCGCCAGUAAUAGUUUAAAGGUGUUAAAUAUUUCAUGAUUAAAAUAAACUUAUUCGUUUUUCUCUGUA